rnacentral:misc_RNA from 1 species
AACGCACCUUGCGCUCCUUGGUAUUCCGAGGAGCAUGCCUGUUUGAGUGUCAUUAAAUUAUCAAUCUCUUCAACUUUUUCACAAGAGCUGAAUGGGAUUGGAUGUGGGAGUUGGAGGCUUGUCCAAAGUCUGCUCUCCUUAAAUGCAUUAGCUGGAACCUUUUUGUGAACCUACAAUGGUGUGAUAAUUAUCUACGCUGUUGCUGUGACGCAAUAUAAAUACAGAGGUUUUGCUUCCAACAGUCCAUUCAAUUGGACACUUGACAAUUUGACCUCAAAUCAGGUAGGACUACCCGCUGAACUUAA